rnacentral:rRNA from 1 species
AGAGUUUGAUCAUGGCUCAGGAUGAACGCUAGCUACAGGCUUAACACAUGCAAGUCGAGGGGAAACGACAUCGAAAGCUUGCUUUUGAUGGGCGUCGACCGGCGCACGGGUGAGUAACGCGUAUCCAACCUGCCCACCACUUGGGGAUAACCUUGCGAAAGUAAGACUAAUACCCAAUGACGUCUCUAGAAGACAUCUGAAAGAGAUUAAAGAUUUAUCGGUGAUGGAUGGGGAUGCGUCUGAUUAGCUUGUUGGCGGGGUAACGCCACAAGGCGACGAUCAGUAGGGUUCUGAGAGGAACGGUCCCCACAUUGGAACUGAGACACGGUCCAAACGUCCUACGGGAGGCGA